rnacentral:rRNA from 1 species
AGUUGAGCGCUGAAGGUUGGUACUUGUACCAACUGGAUGAGCAGCGAACGGCUGAGUAACGCGUGGGGAAUCUGCCUUUGAGCGGGGGACAACAUUUGGAAACGAAUGCUAAUACCGCAUAAAAACUUUAAACACAAGUUUUAAGUUUGAAAGAUGCAAUUGCAUCACUCAAAGAUGAUCCCGCGUUGUAUUAGCUAGUUGGUGAGGUAAAGGCUCACCAAGGCGAUGAUACAUAGCCGACCUGAGAGGGUGAUCGGCCACAUUGGGACUGAGACACGGCCCAAACUCCUACGGGAGGCAGCAGUAGGGAAUCUUCGGCAAUGGACGAAAGUCUGACCGAGCAACGCCGCGUGAGUGAAGAAGGUUUUCGGAUCGUAAAACUCUGUUGGUAGAGAAGAACGUUGGUGAGAGUGGAAAGCUCAUCAAGUGACGGUAACUACCCAGAAAGGGACGGCUAACUACGUGCCAGCAGCCGCGGUAAUACGUAGGUCCCGAGCGUUGUCCGGAUUUAUUGGGCGUAAAGCGAGCGCAGGUGGUUUAUUAAGUCUGGUGUAAAAGGCAGUGGCUCAACCAUUGUAUGCAUUGGAAACUGGUAGACUUGAGUGCAGGAGAGGAGAGUGGAAUUCCAUGUGUAGCGGUGAAAUGCGUAGAUAUAUGGAGGAACACCGGUGGCGAAAGCGGCUCUCUGGCCUGUAACUGACACUGAGGCUCGAAAGCGUGGGGAGCAAACAGGAUUAGAUACCCUGGUAGUCCACGCCGUAAACGAUGAGUGCUAGAUGUAGGGAGCUAUAAGUUCUCUGUACCGCAGCUAACGCAAUAAGCACUCCGCCUGGGGAGUACGACCGCAAGGUUGAAACUCAAAGGAAUUGACGGGGGCCCGCACAAGCGGUGGAGCAUGUGGUUUAAUUCGAAGCAACGCGAAGAACCUUACCAGGUCUUGACAUACUCGUGCUAUUCCUAGAGAUAGGAAGUUCCUUCGGGACACGGGAUACAGGUGGUGCAUGAUUGUCGUCAGCUCGUGUCGUGAGAUGUUGGGUUAAGUCCCGCAACGAGCGCACCCCCUAUUGUUAGUUGCCAUCAUUAAGUUGGGCACUCUAACGAGACUGCCGGUGAUAAACCGGAGGAAGGUGGGGAUGACGUCAAAUCAUCAUGCCCCUUAUGACCUGGGCUACACACGUGCUACAAUGGAUGGUACAACGAGUCGCGAGACAGUGAUGUUUAGCUAAUCUCUUAAAACCAUUCUCAGUUCGGAUUGUAGGCUGCAACUCGCCUACAUGAAGUCGGAAUCGCUAGUAAUCGCGGAUCAGCACGCCGCGGUGAAUACGUUCCCGGGCCUUGUACACACCGCCCGUCACACCACGGGAGUUGGGAGUACCCGAAGUAGGUUGCCUAACCGCAAGGAGGGC